GGAAGGAUCAUUAUAGAAUCAAAAUAAAACGUGUGAAAGAAGAGAAGCCUCCCCCCAAAAAGGGGGGCUACGCGUCCCCUAUAGGCAGAUCCCUUUCUCACAAAACCGCGCAAACGGUUUAUCCUUGUUUAUGAGCACUCCUGUUUCCUCGGCGGGUUCGCCCGCCGAUGGACCCAUUGUUCAACGCUUAGGAUGCAACCAGUAUUGUCUGAGCUAUAUGCAAAAACAUCAAAACUUUCAACAACGGAUCUCUUGGUUCUGGCAUCGAUGAAGAACGCAGCGAAAUGCGAUAAGUAAUGUGAAUUGCAGAAUUCAGUGAAUCAUCGAAUCUUUGAACGCACAUUGCGCCCUUUGGUAUUCCGAGGGGCAUGCCUGUUCGAGCGUCAUUUUAGCCAUCAAGCUGCGCUUGGUGUUGGGCGUUUGUCCUGCCGUGGUGCAUGGACUCGCCUCAAAACAAUCGGCGGCCCGCGUUUCGCUUGUAGCACAGUAGACUGGUAGCUGCAAACACAACGAGCGUGCCUGCCGCAAUGCCAUUUUCUUCGGGUUGACCUCGGAUCAGGUAGGAAUACCCGCUGAACUUAAGCAUAUCAAUAAGCGGAGGAAAAGAAACCAACAGGGAUUGCCCUAGUAACGGCGAGUGAAGCGGCAACAGCUCAAAUUUGAAAUCUGGCUCUUUUAGGGUCCGAGUUGUAAUUUGUAGAGGGUGUUUCGGCGUUGGCCUUGGUCUAAGUUCCUGGAAUGGAAUGUCAUAGAGGGUGAGAACCCCGUCUUUGGCCAGUGGUCUUCGCCAUGUGAAACCCCUUCGACGAGUCGAGUUGUUUGGGAAUGCAGCUCUAAAUGGGAGGUAAAUUUCUUCUAAAGCUAAAUAUUGGCCAGAGACCGAUAGCGCACAAGUAGAGUGAUCGAAAGAUGAAAAGCACUUUGGAAAGAGAGUCAAACAGCACGUGAAAUUGUUGAAAGGGAAGCGCUUGCAGCCAGACGUACGUGCAGUCGCUCAUCUAGGCUUACGCCUGGUGCACUCGUCUGCAGGUAGGCCAGCAUCAGUUCGGGCGGUUGGAUAAAGGCCUUAGGAAUGUAGCUCUCUUCGGGGAGUGUUAUAGCCUGGGGUGUCAUGCAGCCAGCCUGGACUGAGGUCCGCGCUUCGGCUAGGAUGCUGGCGUAAUGGCCGCAAGCGGCCCGUCUUGAAACACGGACCAAGGAGUCUAACAUCUAUGCGAGUGUUUGGGUGUCAAGCCCGGGCGCGCAAUGAAAGUGAACGGAGGUGGGAACCCUUCGGGGUGCACCAUCGACCGAUCCUGAUGUCUUCGGAUGGAUUUGAGUAAGAGCAUAGCUGUUGGGACCCGAAAGAUGGUGAACUAUGCCUGAAUAGGGUGAAGCCAGAGGAAACUCUGGUGGAGGCUCGCAGCGGUUCUGACGUGCAAAUCGAUCGUCAAAUUUGGGCAUAGGGGCGAAAGACUAAUCGAACUAUCUAGUAGCUGGUUCCUGC
rnacentral:misc_RNA from 1 species